CCUACGGGGUGCAGCAGUGGGGAAUAUUGGACAAUGGGCGAAAGCCUGAUCCAGCCAUGCCGCGUGUGUGAAGAAGGCCUUCGGGUUGUAAAGCACUUUCAGUGGGGAAGAAAGCCUUGGGGCUAAUACCCUCGAGGAAGGACAUCACCCACAGAAGAAGCACCGGCUAACUCCGUGCCGGCAGCCGCGGUAAUACGGAGGGUGCGAGCGUUAAUCGGAAUUACUGGGCGUAAAGCGCGCGUAGGCGGUCUGAUAAGCCGGUUGUGAAAGCCCCGGGCUCAACCUGGGAACGGCAUCCGGAACUGUCAGGCUAGAGUGCAGGAGAGGAAGGUAGAAUUCCCGGUGUAGCGGUGAAAUGCGUAGAGAUCGGGAGGAAUACCAGUGGCGAAGGCGGCCUUCUGGACUGACACUGACGCUGAGGUGCGAAAGCGUGGGUAGCAAACAGGAUUAGAUACCCGGGUAGUC
rnacentral:rRNA from 1 species